CAGCAGCCGCGGGAAUACGUAGGUCCCGAGCGUUGUCCGGAUUUAUUGGGCGUAAAGGGAGCGCAGGCGGUUUAGUAAGUCUGAAGUUAAAGGCAUUGGCUCAACCAAUGUAUGCUUUGGAAACUGUUAGACUUGAGUGCAGAAGGGGAGAGUGGAAUUCCAUGUGUAGCGGUGAAAUGCGUAGAUAUAUGGAGGAACACCGGUGGCGAAAGCGGCUCUCUGGUCUGUCACUGACGCUGAGGCUCGAAAGCGUGGGUAGCGAACAGGAUUAGAUACCCGAGUAGUCCCUGUCUCUUAUACC
rnacentral:rRNA from 1 species